rnacentral:rRNA from 1 species
UACGUAGGGUGCGAGCGUUGUCCGGAUUUACUGGGCGUAAAGAGCGCGCAGGCGGUCGAAUCAGUCGAAUGUGAAAGCCCCCGGCUCAACUGGGGAGGGUCAUUCGAUACUGUCCGACUCGAAGGCAGGAGAGGGAAGCGGAAUUCCCGGUGUAGUGGUGAAAUGCGUAGAUAUCGGGAGGAACACCAGUGGCGAAGGCGGCUUUCUGGCCUGUUCUUGACGCUGAGGCGCGAAAGCUAGGGGAGCGAACGGG